GGGGCUGUAGCUCAGUGGUAGAGCACUUGCCUAGCAUGCAUGAGGCCCUGGGUCCCGUCCCUA
rnacentral:tRNA from 1 species